GCCAGACUCCUACGGGAGGCAGCAGUGAGGAAUAUUGGUCAAUGGCCGAGAGGCUGAACCAGCCAAGUCGCGUGAGGGAAGGCGGCCCUACGGGUUGUAAACCUCUUUUGCCGGGGAGCAACGGGGUCCUUGCGAGGGCCCGAUGAGAGUACCCGGAGAAAAAGCAUCGGCUAACUCCGUGCCAGCAGCCGCGGUAAUACGGAGGAUGCGAGCGUUAUCCGGAUUUAUUGGGUUUAAAGGGUGCGUAGGCGGGCUGUUAAGUCAGCGGUAAAAUGUCGGGGCUCAACCCCGGCCUGCCGUUGAAACUGGCGGCCUCGAGUGGGAGAGAAGUAUGCGGAAUGCGUGGUGUAGCGGUGAAAUGCAUAGAUAUCACGCAGAACUCCGAUUGCGAAGGCAGCAUACCGGCGCCCGACUGACGCUGAGGCACGAAAGCGUGGGUAUCGAACAGGAUUAGAUACCCCAGUACGC
rnacentral:rRNA from 1 species